UAGCAGUACGCAAAGAUUUCCUGAAC
rnacentral:piRNA from 1 species